AUUGAACGCUGGCGGCAGGCCUAACACAUGCAAGUCGAGCGGAUGAAGGGAGCUUGCUCCUGGAUUCAGCGGCGGACGGGUGAGUAAUGCCUAGGAAUCUGCCUGGUAGUGGGGGAUAACGUCCGGAAACGGGCGCUAAUACCGCAUACGUCCUGAGGGAGAAAGUGGGGGAUCUUCGGACCUCACGCUAUCAGAUGAGCCUAGGUCGGAUUAGCUAGUUGGUGGGGUAAAGGCCUACCAAGGCGACGAUCCGUAACUGGUCUGAGAGGAUGAUCAGUCACACUGGAACUGAGACACGGUCCAGACUCCUACGGGAGGCAGCAGUGGGGAAUAUUGGACAAUGGGCGAAAGCCUGAUCCAGCCAUGCCGCGUGUGUGAAGAAGGUCUUCGGAUUGUAAAGCACUUUAAGUUGGAGGAAGGGCAGUAAGUUAAUACCUUGCUGUUUUGACGUUACCAACAGAAUAAGCACCGGCUAACUUCGU
rnacentral:rRNA from 1 species